ensembl:lncRNA
GGGUUGCCAUUUCCUCCUCCAGGGGAUCUUCCCAACCCAGGGAUUGAAACUGCAUCUCCUGCACUGGCAGGCAGGUUCUUUACCACUGAGCCACCAGGGAAGCCUGAGCCUACUUGGAGACAGCUUGUUAAAUCAGUAAAUUGGUGUCAAGUGAAACCAUGAAUAAGGGAUAAGAGUUUUCAGAGUCAAUGUGGGUUCUAAAUGAAGGGCAUGUGGAAUUAACGGCAGGGCUGACAGCACUUAGGGAUGUCCUGUGUAGGCCAAGAGCCUCCCUGUUUGCUUCGUGGGGACUGGAUCCACCAGGCAGAGCCCAUUAGCGCCGACUGAGCACACAGCGGUGCUGAGGGACCACGCUCACUCUGUCUCUCUGGAUCCCUCUCACAGAGUCUGUGAUUCUCCCAGUCACUGUCUGUGGGCUGCUCCCUCUCAGCCGGCUUCCAAGUAUAUCUUCCUCUUCCUCCCAGUCUCUGGGUCUCUGACUCUCGGUCUCCUUUUCUCUAGCAUCCAAAGCCCAGGAGAACGGAUCCUCUCUUUCAGUCUCGGAGGGCCAGUCCCUGCGCCUGGUCUGCGUCGUUGACAGCAACCCCCCCGCCAGGAUCAGCUGGGCCCGGGGGAGCCUGACCCUCAGCGCCUCGCCGCCCAGCCACCCAGAGAUGCUGGAGCUGCCGCGGGUGCUCACAGGAGACGAAGGGGAGUUCACCUGCCGAGCUCAGCACGCCCUCGGCUCCCAGCACGUCUCCCUGAGGCUCUCGCUGCAGAGGCGGUCAGCGCGCCCGGCAGAGGCGGUCCUGGUAGCCAUCUGGGAAGUGGCUGUCAAGACCCUGCUCCUCCUCCUCUUUCUCCUGGGCCUCCUGUGAGUGAUGGGGCAUCUCACCACCGACAUCCCAGUGCACACCUCCGCUGGGAUGGCUCCUGGGAUUGCUACAUUCGGGGCGGCCAAAACUCAGCUGCCAUUUUCCUUCUCAAACCCGUUGCUCUACUGGGUUUCUUGUCCCGUCGAUGACAGCCCCCAUCUGAAGGCCAGAAGGGGAUGGGGCGCAAGCACAGCUCAUCUUGAAGCCCAUCUCCUCCCGGUCCUGACCCUGGUCCUUCCAGCAGCCUCAUCUCUUCCCUGAGUCGCUGAACCCAUGCAUCUCCUGCUUCCUCUCGCUGGGAAGCACGGCCCUCGGGUCAGAGGACUCACCAGAGACGGUUCCGUCCACUGCCCGCACAGUCGGAGCAGCUCUGUUUCCUCCCCACGCAGGGGAUGGAGCGGCCCACACCACAGGCUGGAUUCUAAGUCCUGGCGGGCUCUGCCCUGCUGACUCUCCACCCAGAGUUUCUGUCUGGGAUGAUGAAAGCAUUCUGGAAAUGGACAGUGGUGAUGGUUUCACUAACAUGGUGAUGUACUUACUGCCACUCAGGUGUAACACAUGGUUAUUUAGUUGCUGAGUCAUGUCCAUUUUCUUCAACGCCAUGGAUUGUAGCCCGCCAGGCUCCUCAGCCCAUGGGUUUUCCCCAGCCAAGAAUGCUGCAGUGGGUUGCCAUGUCCUUCUCCAGGGGAUCGUCCCCACCCAGAAACUGAACCUGAGUUUCCUGCUUGGCAGGCAGAUUCUUUACCAUUGAGCUACCUGGGAAGCCCUAAAGUGUACUGUAUACAAUGUUAAAAAUAAUUUUUAUUUUAUGAGUAUUUUAC